CAAUCUAUAGAUUUGUUGCAAUCUCAACUGAAAUUCCAGUGGUAAUUUUCAAAGAAAUAAUCUAAAAUUUGUAUGGAAUCACAAAAGAAAGAAAAAAUAUGCAAAGCAGUUUUGAGAAAGAAGAACAAAGCUGGAAACAUCACACUCCUUGAUUUCAAACUAUACUAAAAUGCUAAAAUAAUGAAAAUAAUAUGGUACUGGCACAAAAAUAGACAUAUAGAUUAACAGAACAGAAUAGAGAACCCAGAAAUAAACUCAUAAUCAUAAGAUCAAUUAGUCUACAACAUAAGAGGCAAGAAAAUACAAUGGGGAAAGACAGUGUCUUCAAUAAAUGAUUCUGAAAAUAACUUAACAGCUGCAUGCAAAAGAAUGAAACUAAACCAUUUCCUUUUACUAUAUACAAAAAUAAACUCAGUAUAGACUAAAUCUAAGACCUGAAACCAUAAAAUUCCUGGAAGAAAACAUAGGUAGUAUGCUCUUUAUCAUGAUUCUUAGCAAUAUUUUUUUGUAUCUGUCUCCUCAGGUGAUGGUAGCAGGAACAACCAAAACAAAUGGCACCAUUAAUAUGUUAAACUAAACAGCUUCUGCACAGUGAAGAAAACUGUCAACAAAAUGAAAAGGCAACCUCCUGAAUGAGAAAAGAUAUUUGCAAAUGAUACAUUUGAUAAGAGAUUAAUAUCCAAAAUUUAUAAAAGAACUUGUAUAUGUUAAUAUCAAAUGAAAAACUUAAACAGUGCAAUUUAAAAAUGGGCAGGACUUGAAAUUUUUCUGAAGAAAACACAGAGAUGGCCAACAGACACAUGGCAAAUGCUCAAAUCACUAAUCUUUGUUGUCAUUUAGUUACUAAGUCAUGUCUGACUCUUGGAGACCCCAUGGACUGCAGCUCUCAAGGCUUCUCUGUCCAAGGCAUUCUCCAGGCAAGAAUACUAAAGUGGGUUGCCAUUUGCUUCUCCAGGGGAUGUUUCUGACCCAGGGAUGGAACCUUUGUCUCCUGCAUUGGCAGGCAUUGGCAGGCAGAUUCUUUACCACCGAGCAACCAGGGAAGCUCCCACUAAUCAUUAGGGAAGUCCAAAUCAAAAUCAAAAUGAGAUAUUGCCUCACACCUGUCAGAAAGACAAUUAUCAGAAGACAAGAAAUAGCAAGUACUGGCAAGUAUGAGGAAAAAGGGAGCACUUUGGCACUGUUGGUGGAAAUGUAAACUGGCACAGCCACUAUGCAGAACAGAACGGAGUUUCAUCAAAAACAUAACAGUAGAACUGCCAUAGGAUCCAGCAAUUCCAUUUCUCUGCAUUUAUCUGAAGAAUAUGAAAACAUUAAUUUGAAAAGAUACAUGCACUAUUUUACAGCAUUAUUUACAAUAGCCAAGAUAACAAAGCAACCUGAAUGUCCACGGAUAAAUAAAUGGAUAAAGAAAAUGUAGCUUAUGCGUAUAAUGGAAUAUUACUCGGCAUAGAAAAAUAAAAUCUUGGCAUUUGCAAUGAGAUGAAUGGGCCUAGAAGAUAUCAUUUUAAGCUAAAUAAAUCAAAAAAAUAAAGACAAAUAUGUCCUGAUUUCCCUUAUAUGUAGCAUCUAAAAAGCAAAACAAAUGAAAAAACAUAACUAAACAGAUACAGACUCAUGGAUACCGAGAACAAAUUGGUGGUUGCCAGAGGCAGGACUGGUGAGGCAAUGGAUGAAAUAGGCAAAGGGAAUUAAAAGAUACAAAGUAAUAGUUAUAAAUAAUUAAGUCAUAGGGAUGUAAUUAUACACCAUAGGGAAUAUAGUGAAUAAUAUUGCAGUAACAUUGCAUGGUGACAGAUGGUAACUAGAGUUAUUGUGGUGAUCAAACAUAUAAAAUUUACUAUAAUGUAAUGUAUUAAAUCACUAUGCUGUAUACCUGCAACAAAUAUGAUAUUGUAAGUCAAUUAUACUUAAAUUAAAAAGAGAAAAGCAAACACUCUGAGAUGUAGGGAAAUGGAAGAAAACCUGCCAAAACAUGGGAUGCAGCGAGGCAGUAGCCAGAGGGUAAUUUAUGACAGUAAAUGCAUAUAUUUAAAAAGAAGAAAGAUCUCAGGUUAAUGAUCUAACUUUACACCUUAAAGAUGUAAAUGAAGGGACUUUCUUGGUUGUCCAGUGGUUGAGAACCCACCUGCCAAUGUAGAUCAGUUGAUCCCUGGCAACUGUAGAUUUCCAGGCAAUGUAGAUCAGUUGCCAGGCAAUGUAGAUCAGUUGAUCCCUGGCAACUGAGCCUAUGAGCUGCAAUCACUGAGCCCAUGUGCAACAAAUACUGAAGCCUGUGUACCCUAAAGCCUGUGCUCCACAACUGUAGAUUGCCAGGCAAUGUAGAUUGCCAGGCAAUGUAGAUCAGUUGAUCCCUUGCAACUACAAUUGAUCCCUGGCAACUACAGGGAUCAGUUGAUCCCUGGCAACUACAGGGAUCAGUUGAUCCCUGGCAACUACAAUUGCCUGGCAACUGUAGAUUGCCAGGCAAUGUAGAUCAGAUUGCCAGGCAAUGUAGAUCAGUUGAUCCCUGGCAACUGAGCCCAUGAGCUGCAAUCACUGAGCCCAUGUGCAACAAAUACUGAAGCCUGUGUACCCUAAAGCCUGUGCUCCACAACGAGAGAAGCCACUGUAAGGAGAAGCCUGCGUGCUGCAACUAGAGAGUAGCCCCCAUUCACCAUAAUUAGAGAAAGCCCAAGAACAGCAACAAAGAGCCCAUGUGCUGCAUCAAAAACCCAGCAUAGACAAAUAUAAAUAAUAAAAAAAAACUAAAAAGAAGUGUAACAAAACCCAAAAUUAACAGAUAGAAGGAAACAAUACAGAUUAGAGCUGAGAUAAAUGAAAUAUUCAAUAGAUAAUAGAAAAACAAUGAAAAGGAUCAACAUAACCAAAAUUGUUUUUUUUUUUUAAAAACUCAACAAAAUUGGCAAACCAUUAGUGAGACUGACAAAGGAAAAUUAAAUAGAAGACAAAAAUCACUAAUCAUAGAAAUGAAAUUGAACAUUCAAACACCAGCAAGCUAUAUAAUGUAGAUGAAAUGGACAAAUUUUUAGAAAUACAAAUGAGCAAAACUGACUCAAGAAGAAAUAGAAAACCACAACAAACCUAUAGCAAAUAAAAGGAUUGAGGGAGUAGCCAAAAGAACAUUCCAACAAAGAGAAGUGCAGGACUAGGUCAUUACACUGAUGAUUUUUACUCAAACGGUUAAAGAAGAAUUAGCACCAAUUCUUCUAAAAUUAGAAUUAACAGCAGAUAGAGUAUUUUCUAACUUGUUCUUGAGCAUAAUAUUACACUGAUACCAAAAGCAGAUAAGGAAACCACAAGAAAAUUAUAGACCAAUAUAUCUUACAAAUGCAGACACAAAAAUGAUCAGCAAAAUAUCAGCAAACUGAACCUAAUAACAUUUAAAAGAUUAUAAAUAACUGAAGAGAAUCAAACAUUAAAAUUAUUCUAUACCUGUGGCAGAUUCAUUUUGAUAUAUGGCAAAACCAAUACAAUAUUAUAAAAUUAAAUAAAAUUAAAUAAAAAAAAUAAAAAAUAAAAUUAUUCUAAUGUUUAAAUAAAAAAUUCUUAGUAUAACAGUGGGCAGUAGCCAUAAGUGCCUCAUUUAAUCUAGGCUCCAGAAACAUCCUUUUUUCCAAAAGGGGAAAUGGAGCAGUUGGUCUGACUGAGGAACAAUAUUUUAGGCUCCAAUGUUACCUUCCUAAGAGAUUUUCACAGGUAAUUCUGGCCAAAGCAAUGUUUGUGUCACUCCCCACAAUCAUUAGCAAGAGAGUUCACCACCUGUGAUCCACAAGAAUGUAGCUAAAUUUUCUGCUAAACCAAGAGGAACUGAGAAACCUUGGGGAGAAUUAUUAGUUAGCUGCUUCUAAGUUCCUUGGUAGCUCAGAUGGUAAAGCAUCUGUCUAGAAUGUGGGAGACCCGGGUUUGAUCCCUGGGUUGGGAAGAUCCCCUGGAGAAGGCAAUGGCAACCCACUCCAGUACUCUUGCCUGGAAAAUCCCAUAGACCGAGGAGCCUGGUAGGCUACAGUCCAUGGGGUCACAAAGAGUCGGAUACGACUGAGCGACUUCACUUCACUUCUAAGGGGCCCAGCCUGUAGCAUAUUUUCUUGAGGGUGGUUUGUAGACAAAGUUUUCACACAGUGUGGGGUGGAGGUGAUGUCCUUCAGCAGGUCGUCUGAGGACACUGGGUCCCGAGAUCCCUCUCAGGAGCAGAGGCAGAGAAAAUAGAGGGCCAGGCUGAAUUCCCAAGGGGAUGCUUAAAGAGGAGCACCCCUCUCUCCUUGAAAGCUGAGAAGUGACCACAGGAUGGUCAGGGGUCUUCUCUUUGAAGGUGCUUCCCUAAACAGGUUCACCAGUUGUCAGUCCCUGUCAGGAUACAAGAAUAGAACAGGACAGGGUGAAGAGACAGAGCAGAGGCCUUGAAGUCCCCACAGAAGAGCCGGGUUGGGGAGAGGUGGCUAAAUCCCAGGACAUGACAUGUCCUAAAUCCCAGGACAUGACAACUCUGAGGGGUCUUAGAGGGGACAUUCCCAGCCCCCUCCUGUCACAGAGCAAGAGAUGCCCCAGGGGGUGAACCUGUCCUGGGUCACACAGGGCAGAGCCACACCUGGCACCAGGGCUGCGGGCUCCCAGCCCAGAGCUUCUCCCCUGCAGGAGCUCCCACCAGCUCCCCACCCUGUUUCUGACCUCCCCAGGGGCUUCUCUUCCAGCACUGCUGUCUCAUCACCAGGAUCUGAGAAGCUCCUGGAGGCUCAUCCUCCAACUUGCCUAUCCUGGGAAAAGGGAAGGAAAGAACUUAGAGGGGUUUAGCAGAACAGGGGCUUCUGGCCAGCUGAGGGUUAAACAACAGUCCAGCCAGACUCCCCACUUGCUGAAAAGGAGGGAACCAGGGAGAGAGGCGGCUCGGUCCUCAGGCUUCAGGGAGACCCACCCAGGUGCUGACAGUGAGCACCAGCUGCGGUGAAGUUUAAAGAAGACUUAGAGAAGAAAGGCAAAGCGCUCAGAUCUACAAAGAUGCUAAUCUUUAAAGAGGAAGAAAAAAAAGGAACCUCUGAACUCAUGCAUCAGAUCCGGCCUCCAUUUCUUUGUGUGUGGAGCCCAUAAGGCAAACGGCUUUCUUACCUCCCUCCUUGCCAACAGACACAGAGACACUCCAGAUUCUAGUGACUUCUCUGCUAAUGCAACAAAAUAGCUUCAACUACCUGGUAAAUGGUACUCUCAUUGCAGCCUUGUCACCACCAUAAGGCCAUUUUGCUUUUUCUGUUCAUCCCAGAGCUCUAAACAAAAUGCACAUUCACAAAUUACAAGACAGUGCUUUUUUCUCCUUUUGUAUACCAAAGACAUCAGAAUCCAAGGAGCGCUCCUAGAAGUCAGCCAUUCCUCUCCCUGGCUCUACACAAUUCCCUCCCUUCCCAGGAGGCCAGGCCACUCACUAAGGAGGAGGCUGUUAUAUCCCAGGGUCAAAGAGGCCCAGUAGAGAUGGGGGUCCCCUGAGCAGGGCCUCAGUGCAGGCUGCCUAUGUUGGGGAUUUUCUCCCCGGGACUUGGAAGCGACGAACCUGAAAGAAGGACACUCGGACAGUCUCUUGCAAGGACUGACAAGUUUAUUUCUGCAGUCAAGCCUUUUUAUAGAAGUAGGAACAAAGAGCUUAGAGUAUACAGCCAGCAGAGCGCUGUAUACUCUAAUCAGUAAAAAUAUUUCAAGGACAGCGCACUCUAAGUGACCCAUGAGCUUAUCCCAUAACCUGUUUUCUCAAGUAACAUCCUUAAUAUUUGUUAUUAAAUCUUGGCGCCGGGCAUAAUCAAAGGCAGGAGAUGUUUUUCUGCUUGGGUACAUCAAGCCAGGGUAUUUCUGGCCCUUCGCCAUUUUCCCAAGGACUUCCUCCAACCGGCUAUUUUGUACUGGGCUUCCCAACAGCCUGCCACCUGUGCAGCUACCGAGAAAUCAUCAGAAUGGACAGAGGCAAGAGAAAAGUAAAAGCUCGAGCUCUAGGGGCAUUUUACAUGAUUCUUCCAGGGUGGAGCUAGCAAAUCAGUUCUUAUUUGACCUCUGGCCAACAAAUUUAUUCCAAGGAGACAGCCUCACCACUGAAGAGAAAAGCCUUUCAUCUCAUCUCCAGUACCUACAGUGUGAACUCAGUAAAUAAUUAUAGAAUAAAUGUGGAAAUAGCCAUGGUCUAUGAUUUGUCUGGUAUUAUGUUAGAUACGCCUCAUUCCCUGCAGUUAUGACUACCUUGGUGUUUCCAUACAUCCCACCCUUAUAUCCACCUACUUACUAUGCUUCGCUGUUUUCUUAGGUUAACAGCUCUGCCUCAGGCAGACCUGACCACCAGUGUCAACCUGUGGUCAGGCACUGAAGUCAAGCUUUACAGAAAGCCUGAACUAGGCUUGGGUUCUCUCUCAGCCGCAAUCAAUGAGCCAGUUUCCUUUCUGACCUUUCAUAAACUUCAACUUGUUGAUUGCUUACAUAAGACGGUAUGAGCAAAGCAAUUUCUUAUUCAGAGUGUGAUCUCUUCACAUCCCCAGUGCAAAUAUUGGC
ensembl:lncRNA